AUGGUAAAGAAUCGAUUAUUAAGGUGUUCGCUGCGAACACCCUGGUUAUCGAUCCUUUUCCAUACGUUUAAAUGGCAUAACAAUCGAUAUACCGCAAUGCACGCCACGCCACUGGUUGAGACCUCCAUCUUGAUAGGAACUACUAUUUCUGCUCAUUCGAGUAACGACGUAAGUGCCAUUUGUUUUCUAAUGCAGAUAGGUGCUUUCACGGGUGAGUCACAUAUUACAGUUCUUCCUUGCAAAAUUAAGUCCAAUUCACUGUACAACCAAAAUAAUCUCAUGAGUUUUAAUACUUCAAAGCGGUUUUAUCAAAAGUUUAAACUGUUGAUUCUUUUUUUAAUACUUCAAAGCGGUUUUAUCAAAAGUUUAAACUGUUGAUUCUUUUUUCUUCUUUUUCUUUUCUUUUUUUAGUUUAACUUACACCUAUCCCUUAGCUCGAUGGUUUAUCUUCGCAUAUGACUUCGGUCACUUUAGGAUCGGGAGAGAUCCAGAGCUGUUCGAGAACUUUCACGGUGCAAGAUUUUGAAAUGCCCUUAGAAGUUGAUACCUCCAUCGUGAUGUGAUACAGACUGCCGGCAACGACCUGAAAGAAAUUGUUCAGAGCGAAUCUCAGGUUUACAAGACAAAUUAGUAUGACUGUCCAUCCUUUCAACGAAAGAUUUUGAGCUUGCAUCAGAAAUCUAAACUUUAACAACUAGGGUAAAUCAAAAGAAACUACAUUCAUUGUGACGCGACCCCUAUUAUUCAUGUAUUUUUAAAGAUCUCGGGACUCAUGCCAUAAUGGAUAUGGUUCAUUUGAAUUUAAAUACAUCCACUUCAGAGGCAUGGUGUACUUUGCGAUAUACCGAUUGAUCUGCCAUUUAAACCUAUGGAAAAGGAUCGAUAAAUAGGGUGUUCGCAACGAACACCUUAAUAAUCGAUUCUUCACCAUAUAGCUCCAAAUGACGAAUUAUCGAUAAUCGAUCAUUCACGCCUCGCCUAAGAGAAUGAAAAGAUGAGAUCGAAUCAGAAAUGAGUGUCGAGGUGCUCAAAUCUUGGAGAAUUGUGGUUCGCAGUGGCGUGGCGUGCUUUGCGAUAUAUCGAUUCAUCUGCCAUUUAAACCUAUGGCAAAGGAUCGAUAAAAUUGGUGUUCGCAGCGAACACCUUAGAAAUCGAUUAUUUUCCAUAGGUUUAAAUGGCAGAACAAUCGAUAUAUCGCAAAGCACGCCACGCUAUUGGUGGUUCGACAGGGGACAAUGGCGUUUAGGAGUCGUAUAGAGCGCCAAGGGAGUUCUUUAGAGCGGCAUGUUCAUACGUAUACAUUCAAUCUUCGUUAAACAAUUUAAAUUUUUGAAAAGCAGGAAGACAAAUUAAAGGCUUGGUUGGAUAUCAUUGUAAACAGCACGAAUAGCAAACUUUGCAUGUUCGUACCCCGGUCCAAAACUUCGAAAAUACGAAGGAGCUUCAGAAAAUUAUGCUGAAGAUUAAUUACUUGCAAUAUCACAAUAUAUAUAUUAUUUACACGUGCAUAGAGCUCUCGUAGCGCUGACAAUAAUGUGUCACUAUUGGACGUGUUUAUGCAGCUAAAAGGAACUUUGUGCAUAGGGUUAGCGUGCAACAUAGUUCCUUUUAGUAUGACUACGUCCUAUUAUAUUAGUUGAUCAAUACAAAUUAGAAGUGUAGGUCUCUUGCUAGAAUUAUAUAAGUUUCGUGGCCGUAUAAUAACAAGAUAUUAAUGGAAACUAAGCUCUCAACAACCCGGAUCCAUUGUGUAAAUUAGACUGAUACGUAAGUAAGAAUAUUAAAGAAAUCCACAAUAGCCGAAACCAACAACGGUAAAAUCACACAACCUUGGGAAAAAGACUCAAACAAGACUAAGAGACUAAAAAAAGGGUAAUAAUCAUGCACAGAUAAGUCCAUUAGAUUUUCAUUUAUGCAUUGACAUACAUAAGUUAUCACACACGCACACAACACAUUUGUUGCCUGAAAAUAAACUCACCUGAGAGUAAGCCUCGGUAACUUUAACCAGUAUGAGUUCGUCAUUACUUCCUAGGGAAGUUUUCACAGCGGAGAAGGAGAAAUUGGCGAGCGAUUGGAUCUUCUCGUCUUUUACAUCCCUGGGAGAGAAUCCACCUGGGAGGUUUUUUUUCUCGGAUCCGUCCGCUUUUUUGGGUAGGCCCUGUGGAAUUUUCAUCAAAAAUGAUCAGAUUGAAGCGUUGAUCAUAGGAUCUAAAUGUCAAAGGCAUUUAAUGGACCGAUAGAAAAGGUACAAAAAAACAUUGUGAUACAUGUCUCUUCACUGAAAUUUCAUGUAUAACACAAUUUGCGCAUCGAAAAUUACUGAAAUCAACAGCUAAUAACUAAGAUAUUGACGUUUUUAUUUUACAUUUAUCCCGAGAAAGAAUCACUCGGUCAAAAGAAAAACAAAACUCUAAGUGAGUCAAAUUGCGCACGACAACGGUCUUGACGGGUUUCUCAAUAUUCGAUCAGUGUUCUCUUUCCACCCUGUGUUGUUCAAAGUAUUCGAAACGCGCAACAGCUGAGCCGAAGCAACAAGAUUGAGGUUGUCGCAUGUUCAUGCCGCAUAGAUUAUUACGACAUCGGUUAGUGCGCGAUUUGACUCACGUUGGUUUUUCACGAGCGAAAGGUUUGAAUUCACGUAUCAAAAAACGUUAAAUAUCUGAGUUAUAAGAGUUAAUUUCAGCAAUUUUCGUUGCCUAAAUUGAGUUCUACGGGUAAUUUUUAAAUUAAAAAAUGUAUCAGAAUGGAUUUUGUGAUCUGAUGUGGCGUAGUUCCUUUCUAUUAAACGCGAUCCAGGUAAUCUAUUGAAAACAAUAGCAUUCUAUUCCUACGUAGAGGAAAUGUUGAAAAAAUAAUUAACCCGUAGAUCGGGUCAACUAGGGCUCCAACUUAAACGAAAUUAAAAAAACUCUAGAAUCGAGUACGGUGGUUCACGAUCAGUUUGUGUUAUUCACGAUCAAUUAGAGUCGAGGAAAAGGAAAUUUAGUCUAAUUCAUGGAGUCCAUUUCAAAUAUCUCAAAGUCUCGGUAUCGAAUCGCAUUUGAGUAAAAAUUGAGUCUAACUUGUCUUUGAUACGGGCAAAUAAUAAAUUAUUAUUCUCAGCGGUGUAAAUAAUCAAUGAAAUCGAUAUAAAGUAUUUAGAAUGUGAGUGUCUAAUUCACUGGUUUACUCUUACCUCGACCUGAAAUGAGACCAGCGCCAACGCAAAUACUAGCCCUUUUGCUGAAAUCAUGUUGACACACUUAAUCGAACUUUUCAAAUGCACUUUUCACAACUGAACGGAACUAACAGCACAGUCCGCAAUUGCUAGAAUAGACAAGUAGAUGUAAUCUCAGCGUUGAAAAAAAUUGGAUCCGGACGUCAUCAUUUGGGCGUAUUUCUGCCAAACGCGACCAUGUGCACUUUGACGUGAGCCCUGCUAUGUAUAUAUUCUUAUGGGUCUCAGAGGUUACGUCUUCAUGCAAAUAUUUCCGUUCGGCAGAAAUACGUCCAUUCAUCGACUUUAUCGCCUGUUGUGAGGUCGUAAGGCAAAAGCUUGUGCACAACAUGCACAUUGCAAUCUAGAAUUAUGUCAAGAGUAGACUUAAUUAUCUGCGCGCCAUCUUUCUAGGUUACUUAACUCGUUGAAAGCAGGAGAAAGUGGGGAGCUUUCGCACACAUCGGAUAUCUACUGUGAAAAGGAGAGACUUUAUGAAAAUACGGAGCGCUGAUUCACGUUAACCGGAAGCCGCGUAUCAUUUCCGCGCACUGUCAUUUUUGGCGCGCGUUUGGCAACAUCGCAGUGAGUAGUGGUCACUGGCAGGGUUGCAAUUUUUCAUGAAAAACAAAAUCUUGAAAUUUCACGUGGAAUAUUCCAUGGAAUUUUAGAAAAAUAUGAAAUAUAUUAAAAAAUAUUUUUCAAAAUUAAAUGAGAGGCGACUGUUUUUCGCUUUGGUGUUUUUUAGUGCGUGUUGCAUAACUAGCCACAGAUAAUAGGUUUCAUAUUUUUCACAACUUUGUGAAAUUGCAUUGAAUAUUUCACGAGGAUUUUCAAUAUUUCAUAUUUUUCAUUUCACCCGUGCAACCCUGGUCCCUGGGUGGAAGUUUGUCUUGAGUACCUCUGCUGUGUUUUGAAUCUACAUGUAUCUUAAACUGAUUUAAAGAGUGCGUGAGAUCAUGAACGCCGAGCAGAACAUCGUGCAUUAAAUUAUGACUAAACAACUUGUCUGGUAUGGUCAUGUUCUACGAAUGGCAGAUGACAGAUUGCCUAAGAAGGAUUGAGUUCCUCCUGGGAUAAGACACAGGAGGCGUCCAGCAAAAUCGUGGAUAGGAGGCAUUCGAGAUGAAAUUAAGAGAUGCAAUUUGCCA
rnacentral:lncRNA from 1 species